AGAGUUUGAUCCUGGCUCAGAGCGAACGCUGGCGGCAUGCUUAACACAUGCAAGUCUCACGGGCAGCAAUGUCAGUGGCGGACGGGUGAGUAACGCGUAGGUAUCUAUCCUUGGGUGGGGGAUAACGUCGGGAAACUGACGCUAAUACCGCAUGACACCUGUGGGUCAAAGGCGCGAGUCGCCUGAGGAGGAGCCUGCGUACGAUUAGCUUGUUGGUGGGGUAAAGGCCUACCAAGGCGACGAUCGUUAGCUGGUCUGAGAGGAUGAUCAGCCACACUGGGACUGAGACACGGCCCAGACUCCUACGGGAGGCAGCAGUGGGGAAUAUUGGACAAUGGGCGAAAGCCUGAUCCAGCAAUGCCGCGUGGAUGAAGAAGGUCUUCGGAUUGUAAAGUCCUUUCGGCGGGGACGAUGAUGACGGUACCCGCAGAAGAAGCCC
rnacentral:rRNA from 1 species